ensembl:lncRNA
AUUACCGUGAAACCGGCAGUUAUUUGCUUGACAAUCACCGGCUGACAAAUUUUCAUGACCACCACAGCCCUAGUUAUGACUCAUGACAACUGGUGUGGCGGUAAUACAUUCAUGGCAACAGCCCUAUUCAUGGUCGAGUGUUUUAGUCCCCUUCAUGUGUGCAUUGAGCAGUGUGUUUCAGCUCGUGUUCAUUUGAAAAGACUGGGCGGGCGGAGAGAUGCUGUGAAACUCAGCCUCCUUUGAGUAGGUGUUUCCAGACUUUUGACUGGCCUGCUGAUCUACUUCUGAGCUGACUAACCGUUAGAAGUCGCUCUCUAGCGGGAAAGAAGAGGAGAAGUUGAAAAAUAAGUGGAUCUGCUGUCUCGACCUCUCGACCUCUGAAUGUUCGGCUAUGAAAAGCCAACUGACAUUUACUCCUGAGGUACUGACCUACACUAUACAACCACUGUGAUUAUUAUUUGACCCUGCUGGUCAUCUAUGAACGUUUGACUACUCAAGGCUGUAAAUCACUGCCAUAGGGGCUUCUACAAAGUACUGAGUAAAUGGUCUGAAAACUUAUUUAAAUGUGAUAUUUCAGUUAUUUAUUUGUAAUGCAUUUUCAAACAUUUCUCUAAAGCUGUUUUUGCUUUGUCAUUAUCGGGUAUUGUGUGUAGAUUGAUGAGGAAAAAAUACGAUUGAAUCAAUAUUAGAAUAAGGCUGUAACGUAACAAAAUGUGGAAAAAGUGAAGGGGUCUGAAUACUUUCCAAAUGCACGGUUUUCAACUCUGUAUUGAACUCAAUGGUCAUGACUGUUACAUUACCUGCAGUACACUUCAUGUCUGACAGGGGGAGUAAGUGCAUCUGUUUCUGUUUAGAUUGUAAUCAGUGUCAGCAAAAGUUUGAAGUUACACAGAUACAUGACUGCAUUGUUAUCAAAACAUACUUCUUAGUAUGAUUGAUCAAUACUAUGAAAUCUUAAACAAACCUAAUGAAUUUUUCAAUACCCAUCCAAUACCCAUCCAUUCAUUGAUUGAAGUGUUUUUGUAGACACACCAAUACCAAUCAAGGAAUCAUUUUACUAACCACACAUCUACAGGGUGUGUGUGUAUGUGUAUGUGUAUGUGUGUGUGUGUGUGUGUGUGUGUGUGUG